AGUUUUUGAUGAUGAUUUUUUACCUACAUUAUUUGAUGUUUAUGAUACAAAAAUAUUACCUGAAAAUUGU